AUUGAACGCUGGCGGAAUGCUUUACACAUGCAAGUCGAACGGCAGCACGGGAGCUUGCUCCUGGUGGCGAGUGGCGAACGGGUGAGUAAUGCAUCGGAACGUACCUAUUAGUGGGGGAUAACUAUCCGAAAGGAUAGCUAAUACCGCGUACGUCCUGAGGGAGAAAGCGGGGGAUCGUAAGACCUCGCGCUACUCGAGCGGCCGAUGUUGGAUUAGCUAGUUGGUAGGGUAAAGGCCUACCAAGGCGACGAUCCAUAGCUGGUCUGAGAGGAUGAUCAGCCACACUGGGACUGAGACACGGCCCAGACUCCUACGGGAGGCAGCAGUGGGGAAUUUUGGACAAUGGGGGCAACCCUGAUCCAGCCAUUCCGCGUGAGUGAAGAAGGCCUUCGGGUUGUAAAGCUCUUUCGGCAGGAACGAAACGGUAGUUACUAAUACUAGCUGCUAAUGACGGUACCUGAAGAAGAAGCACCGGCUAACUACGUGCCAGCCGCCGCGGUAA
rnacentral:rRNA from 1 species